CUCAGGGAUAGGCUGGGCAUUGGUCAGCAGGUGGUAAUCUGAAAACAAUGGAACUACAGGAGAGUGUUGAGUAAGAAUUCAGUCUUUCUACUUAAGGUCUCAAAGAAAAGUGCCACCUGAAGCUUUGUGAGAUGAAAAAAGUGAAUGAAGCAUCUCAAGCAGAAUGACUGUGCAUCUCCUGUGCAAUGAGGAUGGUCCUAGGUGAUCCUGCUCGGCAGGGGGUUUGGACUAGAUGAUCUUCAGACGUUCCUUCCAACCUCGUCCAUUCUGUGAUUCUGUGAAUGAAUAAAUACCUUACAUCUCAAAAUG